UGGGGAAUAUUGCACAAUGGGCGCAAGCCUGAUGCAGCCAUGCCGCGUGUAUGAAGAAGGCCUUCGGGUUGUAAAGUACUUUCAGCGGGGAGGAAGGGAGUAAAGUUAAUACCUUUGCUCACUGACGUUACCCGCAGAAGAAGCACCGGCUAACUCCGUGCCAGCAGCCGCGGUAAUACGGAGGGUGCAAGCGUUAAUCGGAAUUACUGGGCGUAAAGCGCACGCAGGCGGUUUGUUAAGUCAGAUGUGAAAUCCCCGGGCUCAACCAGGGAACUGCAUCUGAUACUGGCAAGCUUGAGUCUCGUAGAGGGGGGUAGAAUUCCAGGUGUAGCGGUGAAAUGCGUAGAGAUCUGGAGGAAUACCGGUGGCGAAGGCGGCCCCCUGGACGAAGACUGACGCUCAGGUGCGAAAGCGUGGGGAGCAAACAGG
rnacentral:rRNA from 1 species